UACGGGGGGGGCAAGCGUUGUUCGGAAUUACUGGGCGUAAAGGGCUCGUAGGCGGCCAACUAAGUCGGAUGUGAAAUCCCCAGGCUCAACCUGGGAACUGCAUCCGAUACUGGAUGGCUUGAAUCCGGGAGAGGGAUGCAGAAUUCCAGGUGUAGCGGUGAAAUGCGUAGAUAUCCUGAGGAACACCGGUGGCGAAAGCGGCGCGCUGGAUCCCUUCUGACGCUGAGGCGCGAAAGCCAGGGGAGCAAACGGG
rnacentral:rRNA from 1 species